rnacentral:rRNA from 1 species
ACACGACUACAUUAGAUACCCGGGUAGUCCUAGGCGUAAAUGAUGCGAGUUAAGUNUGGGGCAUCUACGAGAUGGCCCUGUGCUGUAGGGUAGCCGUUAAACUCGCUGCCUGGGAGUACGGUCGCAAGGCUGAAACUUAAAGGAAUUGGCGGGGAGCACCACAAGAGGUGGAGGCUGCGGUUCAAUUGGACUCAACGCCGGAAACUCAUCGGGAGCGACAGCAGUAUGAUUGCCAGGUUGAUGACCUUGCUUGACAAGCUG